AACGAACGCUGGCGGCAUGCCUAACACAUGCAAGUCGAACGAGACCUUCGGGUCUAGUGGCGCACGGGUGCGUAACGCGUGGGAACCUGCCCUUAGGUUCGGAAUAACUCCCCGAAAGGGGUGCUAAUACCGGAUAAUGUCUUCGGACCAAAGAUUUAUCGCCUUUGGAUGGGCCCGCGUUGGAUUAGCUAGUUGGUAGGGUAAAAGCCUACCAAGGCGACGAUCCAUAGCGGGUCUGAGAGGAUGAUCAGCCACACUGGGACUGAGACACGGCCCAGACUCCUACGGGAGGCAGCAGUGGGGAAUAUUGGACAAUGGGCGAAAGCCUGAUCCAGCAAUGCCGCGUGAGUGAUGAAGGCCUUAGGGUUGUAAAGCUCUUUUACCCGGGAUGAUAAUGACAGUACCGGGAGAAUAAGCUCCGGCUAACUCCGU
rnacentral:rRNA from 1 species